UACAGAGGGUGCAAGCGUUGUUCGGAAUUAUUGGGCGUAAAGGGAGUGUAGGCGGCUUGUUAAGUCUUCUGUGAAAUCUACGGGCUCAGCCUGUAACGUGCAGAGGAAACUGGCGAGCUUGAGUGUCGGAGAGGAUAGGGGAAUACCCGGUGUAGAGGUGAAAUUCGUAGAGAUCGGGUGGAACACCAGUGGUGAAGGCGCCUAUCUGGCUGACAACUGACGCUGAGACUCGAAAGCAUGGGGAGCAAACAGG
rnacentral:rRNA from 1 species